CCUACGGGAGGCAGCAGUGAGGAAUAUUGGUCAAUGGGCGGGAGCCUGAACCAGCCAAGUCGCGUGAGGGAAGAAGGUACUGAGUAUUGUAAACCUCUUUUGCCAGGGGACAAAGGCGGCCACGGGUGGCCGUAAGAGGGUACCUGGAGAAAAAGCAUCGGCUAACUCCGUGCCAGCAGCCGCGGUAAUACGGAGGGUGCGAGCGUUAAUCGGAAUUACGUGGGGUAAAGCGCUCGUAGGCGGUAUUUCAAGUCAAGGGGGAAAUCACCGGGCUCCACGUGGGUAGUGCCUUUGAAACUGGAGAACUGGAGUGGGUGAGAGGAUAGCGGAAUGCCAGGUGUAGGAGUGAAAUCCGUAGAUAGCUGGAGGAACAUCGGUGGCGAAGGCGACUAUCUGGCACAUAACUGACGCUGAGGAGCGAAAGCGUGGGUAGCAAACAGGAUUAGAUACCCUAGUAGUC
rnacentral:rRNA from 1 species